ACAUAGAGAGAGAAGUCAGCGCUCUCAGGAGGCCGACAAACCUCACAGAAGAAAGGGAGAGAAAAAAUACAUCUGUGAUGAGUGUGGGAAGGAUUUUACCCGGGCUGGACACUUAAAAAGACAUAAACUCACCCACAGCGGAGUCAAAGCGUACAGCUGUGAUGAGUGUGGGAAGGAUUUUACUCAGAACUCUAGCCUGAAAUAUCAUUGGCUCAUCCACACUGGGGAGAGACCAUUCACCUGUGACUUGUGUGGAAAGUCUUUUACCGAGGCCGUACACUUGAAAAGACACAAAUUCAUCCACAGUGGAGUUAAACCAUACAGCUGUGAUCAGUGUGGCAAAGCUUUUGCUCUCAGAGGCGCCUUACUGAGUCAUCAAGUUACCCACUCUGGAAUUAAGGCGUACAGCUGCGACAUUUGUGGAAAAACUUUCAGCCGUCGACAGUAUUGAAAUAUUCACCUACGCAUCCACACCAGACAUGAUGUUUACUGCUGUGGUCAGUGUGGGAAACUGUUUGUAACAGAUGCCCAGUUACAACGCCACAUGCUUACCCACACCGAGGAGAGACCUUAUAAAUGUGACCUGUGUGAUAAGGCUUUUAAAGAGCCACGUUCCCUGAGAAGACACGAACAGAUCCACAUCAGAAAGAAACUCUACAAGUGCAGUUACUGUGAGCAGAGCGACGCAGAUGGAUCCAGUUCUCAACCCUGUCGUCACUGUGGUGGUGAGAAAGCGUUUCGUUGUGACCUUUGUGGAAAAACUUUCAGUCAUCAAAACAGCCUAAAGCUACAUCAACGCAGACACACUGGAGACAAAAUGAACUACUGCAAAGAAUGUGGGAGAGGCUUCCCCAUACCAAGUAAAUUAAAAGAACAUGAACUCUGUCACAGUGGGGUUAAAAAGCACGUCUGUGACCAGUGUGGGUCAUCCUUCACCAUUGCACGUAAUCUUAAAAUGCAUAAACGAAUCCACACAGGAGAGAAACCAUACAAGUGCAGACACUGUGACAAAAGCUUCUCACAGUCAGGUAAUCGUAACAAACAUGAACGUACACACAUUGAAGGGAACUUCAGCUGUGACCAGUGUGACAAGAGCUUCAAGAA